rnacentral:rRNA from 1 species
AUUGAACGCUGGCGGCAUGCCUUACACAUGCAAGUCGAACGGUAACAGGUCUUCGGAUGCUGACGAGUGGCGAACGGGUGAGUAAUACAUCGGAACGUGCCUAGUAGUGGGGGAUAACUACUCGAAAGAGUGGCUAAUACCGCAUGAGAUCUACGGAUGAAAGCAGGGGAUCGCAAGACCUUGUGCUACUAGAGCGGCCGAUGGCAGAUUAGGUAGUUGGUGGGAUAAAAGCUUACCAAGCCGACGAUCUGUAGCUGGUCUGAGAGGACGAUCAGCCACACUGGGAUUCAGCCACGGCCCAGCCACCUACGGGGGGCAGCAGUGAGGAAUUUUGGACAAUGGGCGAAAGCCUGAUCCAGCAUUGCGGCGUGCAGGAUGAAGGCCUUCGGGUUGUAAACUGCUUUUGUACGGAACGAAAAGCCCCGGGUUAAUACCCUGGGGUCAUGACGGUACCGUAAGAAUAAGCACCGGCUAACUACGUGCCAGCCGCCGCAGUAA